GCAGCUACUGCUGGAGGUUUGUGCUGUUUGAGGUCUGCUGUGUCCGUAUUUUUCCGUCAUGUCUGCAGACGUGGAAAGCUUGACCGUGUUUGAAGAGGACCAUUACGACGAGUACGACUACUACAACUUGCGCGAAUACAGCUGUGGAGCGGGGGGUAAAGGCAGGACCAAGAAGGAGAUCGAGCAGAAUGGAAACCGCCAUGUUCCCGCCGGGCACGAAAGAAAGAUUGAGGAAAAACUGCACAACAGCGAACUAAGGAGGAGAAGGAGCCAAAGCUCGUCCACCUAGAGGACGGACGCUUCCUUCAACCUAUUCAGUCUUUUAGGUAUCGGACUCUCGACUCUGGAUCCCAAAGUGUUUGGAGCAACCCUCUUACAGAAGAAUGGAGAGCUGGGUUACUGCUGUGCCCACGAUUGCAGUUUCAUGUACUUGGCUUGUGGAGAUGGCAGUCCUACAGGGACUCUCCAACCAGUGCAAUAAUGAUUUUAAUCCUGCAUGUUUUACUGUAAUGAUGCUGCAUUUAUAUGCAGGAAUGUGAUAUUUUUUUCUUGUGUAAAAAUAAAAAUAAAACAUUUUAAACUUUUCA